rnacentral:rRNA from 1 species
GACGCAGUAGGAUAGGCGAAGCGUGCUGUUGGAGUGCACGUCCAAGCAGUGAGAUUGAGUGUUAGGCAAAUCCGGCACUCUUAAGAUUGAGCUGUGAUGGGGAGAGGAACUUGUUCCUCGAGUCGUUGAUUUCACACUGCCGAGAAAAGCCUCUAGCUAGAAUAACGGUGCCCGUACCGCAAACCGACACAGGUAGUCAAGAUGAGAAUUCUAAGGUGAGCGAGCGAACUCUCGUUAAGGAACUCGGCAAAAUGACCCCGUAACUUCGGGAGAAGGGGUGCUCUUUGAGGUUCACGCUUCGAAGAGCCGCAGUGAAUAGGCCCAAGCGACUGUUUAUCAAAAACACAGGUCUCUGCUAAACCGUAAGGUGACGUAUAGGGGCUGACGCCUGCCCGGUGCUGGAAGGUUAAGAGGAGUGGUUAGCGCAAGCGAAGCUACGAAUCGAAGCCCCAGUAAACGGCGGCCGUAACUAUAACGGUCCUAAGGUAGCGAAAUUCCUUGUCGGGUAAGUUCCGACCCGCACGAAAGGCGUAACGAUUUGGGCACUGUCUCAACGAGAGACUCGGUGAAAUCAUAGUACCGGUGAAGAUGCCGGUUACCCGCGACAGGACGGAAAGACCCCGUGGAGCUUUACUGUAGCCUGAUAUUGAAAUUCGGUACAGUUUGUACAGGAUAGGUAGGAGCCUUAGAAGCGUGAGCGCUAGCUUACGUGGAGGCAUUGGUGGGAUACUACCCUAAUUGUAUUGGAUUUCUAACCCGCAGCACUUAUCGUGCUGGGAGACAGUGUCAGGCGGGCAGUUUGACUGGGGCGGUCGCCUCCUAAAGAGUAACGGAGGCGCUCAAAGGUUCCCUCAGAAUGGUUGGAAAUCAUUCAUAGAGUGUAAAGGCAUAAGGGAGCUUGACUGCGAGACCUACAAGUCGAGCAGGGUCGAAAGACGGACUUAGUGAUCCGGUGGUUCCGCAUGGAAGGGCCAUCGCUCAACGGAUAAAAGCUACCCCGGGGAUAACAGGCUUAUCUCCCCCAAGAGUUCACAUCGACGGGGAGGUUUGGCACCUCGAUGUCGGCUCAUCGCAUCCUGGGGCUGUAGUCGGUCCCAAGGGUUGGGCUGUUCGCCCAUUAAAGCGGUACGCGAGCUGGGUUCAGAACGUCGUGAGACAGUUCGGUCCCUAUCCGUCGUGGGCGUAGGAAAUUUGAGAGGAGCUGUCCUUAGUACGAGA